rnacentral:rRNA from 1 species
AAGGCUAGGUGGGCCUGGCGACGGUUGUCCAGGUUCAAGUGCGUAGGCUGAGUGUUUAGGUAAAUCCGGACACUCUUAAGGCUGAGACACGACGUCGAGCUACUACGGUAGUGAAGUCAUUGAUGCCAUGCUUCCAGGAAAAGCCUCUAAGCUUCAGAUUGUAAGGAAUCGUACCCCAAACCGACACAGGUGGUCGGGUAGAGAAUACCAAGGCGCUUGAGAGAACUCGGGUGAAGGAACUAGGCAAAAUGGUACCGUAACUUCGGGAGAAGGUACGCUCUUGAUGGUGAAGUCCCUUGCGGAUGGAGCUGACGAGAGUCGCAGAUACCAGGUGGCUGCAACUGUUUAUUAAAAACACAGCACUGUGCAAAAUCGUAAGAUGACGUAUACGGUGUGACGCCUGCCCGGUGCCGGAAGGUUAAUUGAUGGGGUUAGCGUAAGCGAAGCUCUUGAUCGAAGCCCCGGUAAACGGCGGCCGUAACUAUAACGGUCCUAAGGUAGCGAAAUUCCUUGUCGGGUAAGUUCCGACCUGCACGAAUGGCGUAAUGAUGGCCACGCUGUCUCCACCCGAGACUCAGUGAAAUUGAAAUCGCUGUGAAGAUGCAGUGUACCCGCGGCUAGACGGAAAGACCCCGUGAACCUUUACUACAGCUUGGCACUGAACAUUGAACCUACAUGUGUAGGAUAGGUGGGAGGCUUUGAAGACGUGACGCCAGUUGCGUUGGAGCCGUCCUUGAAAUACCACCCUUGUAUGUUUGAUGUUCUAACGUUGGCCCCUAAUCGGGGUUGCGGACAGUGCCUGGUGGGUAGUUUGACUGGGGCGGUCUCCUCCCAAAGAGUAACGGAGGAGCACGAAGGUGGGCUAAUCACGGUUGGACAUCGUGAGGUUAGUGCAAUGGCAUAAGCCCGCUUAACUGCGAGAAUGACGGUUCGAGCAGGUGCGAAAGCAGGUCAUAGUGAUCCGGUGGUUCUGAAUGGAAGGGCCAUCGCUCAACGGAUAAAAGGUACUCCGGGGAUAACAGGCUGAUACCGCCCAAGAGUUCAUAUCGACGGCGGUGUUUGGCACCUCGAUGUCGGCUCAUCACAUCCUGGGGCUGAAGUCGGUCCCAAGGGUAUGGCUGUUCGCCAUUUAAAGUGGUACGCGAGCUGGGUUUAGAACGUCGUGAGACAGUUCGGUCCCUAUCUGCCGUGGGCGUUGGAAGAUUGAAGGGGGCUGCUCCUAGUACGAGAGGACCGGAGUGGACGAACCUCUGGUGUUCGGGUUGUGUCGCCAGACGCAUUGCCCGGUAGCUAAGUUCGGAAUCGAUAACCGCUGAAAGCAUCUAAGCGGGAAGCGAGCCCUGAGAUGAGUCUUCCCUGAUACUUUAAGUAUCCUGAAGGGUUGUUCGAGACUAGAACGUUGAUAGGCAGGGUGUGUAAGCGCUGUGAGGCGUUGAGCUAACCUGUACUAAUUGCCCGUGAGGCUUAACCAUACAACACCCAAAGGGUUUUG